rnacentral:lncRNA from 1 species
GAGGUUAAUAAAUGGUGCUGUGGCUGAGGUUAAUAAACGGUGCUGUGGCUGAGGUUAAUAAACGGCGCUGUGGCUGAGGUUAAUACACGGUGCUGUGGCUGAGGUUAAUAAACUGUGCUGUGGCUGAGGUUAAUACACGGUGCUGAGGUUAAUAAACGGUGCUGUGGCUGAGGUUAAUACACGGUGCUGUGGCUGAGGUUAAUAAACGGUGCUGUGGCUGAGGUUAAUAAACGGUGCUGUGGCUGAUAAACGGUGGCUGAGGUUAAUAAACGGUGCUGUGGCUGAGGUUAAUAGGCGGUGCUGUGGCUGAGGUUAAUACACGGUGCUGUGGCUGAGGUUAAUACACGGUGCUGAGGUUAAUACACGGUGCUGUGGCUGAGGUUAAUAAACGGUGCUGUGGCUGAGGUUAAUAAACGGUGCUGUGGCUGAGGUUAAUAAACGGUGCUGUGGCUGAGGUUAAUAAACGGUGCUGUGGCUGAGGUUAAUAAACGGUGCUGUGGCUGAGGUUAAUACAUGGUGCUGUGGCUGAGGUUAAUACGCGGUGCUGUGGCUGAGGUUAAUAAACGGUGCUGUGGCUGAGGUUAAUACGCGGUGCUGUGGCUGAGGUUAAUACGCGGUGCUGAGGUUAAUACACGGUGCUGUGGCUGAGGUUAAUAAACGGUGCUGUGGCUGAGGUUAAUACGCGGUGCUGAGGUUAAUACACGGUGCUGUGGCUGAGGUUAAUAAACGGUGCUGUGGCUGAGGUUAAUACGCGGUGCUGAGGUUAAUACACGGUGCUGUGGC